rnacentral:rRNA from 1 species
UACGGAGGGAGCAAGCGUUACUCGGAAUUAUUGGGCGUAAAGGGCGCGUAGGCGAUUUAACAAGUCUUGUGUGAAAGCCCCGGGCUUAACUCGGGAAGUGCACAAGAAACUGUUGAAUUUGAGUUCCGGAGAGGAAGGCAGAAUUCCCGGUGUAGCGGUGAAAUGCGUAGAUAUCGGGAGGAAUACCAGUGGCGAAGGCGGCCUUCUGGACGGAUACUGACGCUGAGGCGCGAAAGCCAGGGGAGCAAAGCGGGG